UACGGAGGGUCCAAGCGUUAUCCGGAUUUAUUGGGUUUAAAGGGUCCGCAGGCGGGAGAAUAAGUCAGUGGUGAAAUCCUGUCGCUUAACGAUAGAACUGCCAUUGAUACUGUUUUUCUUGAGUAUAGAUGAAGUGGGCGGAAUGUGUCAUGUAGCGGUGAAAUGCAUAGAUAUGACACAGAACACCGAUUGCGAAGGCAGCUCACUAAACUAUAACUGACGCUCAUGGACGAAAGCGUGGGGAGCGAAC
rnacentral:rRNA from 1 species